UAAAAGUACUUGCAGCUCAGAGCUCUUCUAAUCACUCUCCUGCAUUUCUCCUCCUGGGUGAACCAAGUGUAGCUGAAUUGGAGAAAGAUGUCCUUCAACCGCCAGCUGCUCAGCUCCCGCUGCUUCAACCCCUGUGAGGUGACCUGCCCUCAGCCAUACGCCAAUGCCUGGAACGAGCCCUGCGUCACGUCCUGCGGCGACUCCAGAGCCGUGGUCUACCCACCCCCAGUGGUCGUCACCUUCCCAGGACCCAUCCUCAGCUCCUGCCCCCAGGAGAGCUACGUGGGCACCUCGGAGCCGCUCCAGAUCGGCAGCUCCUUUGUCUCCAGGGGCUCUGUUGGGUCCGGGAGCUCCUUAGGAUGCCUGUCCCCUUAUUAUUCCCAGCGGUACAAUAAGUACCGCUAUGGCAGCUGCGGGUCUUGUUAAACCCAGCAGGAAAACCCACAGCACAGGGAACAACGGAGGAGUGGAAAGCAAUAUAGUCAUAAAUACAGGGCAUGGUUUUUCAGGAAGGCCGGGUACCCUGGGUCCUACAGAAACCUGGGAGACAUGGAGGUGCUCAGCUCAUCUGAACUAACAGGCCCAGAAUUGGUUCCAUUUCUCCAUUAGAUUUAGCACAAUAUCCACUCAUCCUGCCCCAUGUGCAGCCUUUCCAGGAACAACUGCCUGUGGUAUCUGGUUAUUAAAAACUACCGCACCAGAAAUGUAUUGGGAGUGUUGCUUUGUCCCCCUCUGUAGACUGUUGUCUCUCUGAUUUGAUAGCAUCUGGAAGAAACUGAAAGCAUCUCAUGAUUGGCUGAAAAAAGGACUUGCUCAUCAGUAUCCGCAGCGGCAACUAAAGGAGAACCUCGUGGGGAAAUACUGCCCAUUUGGUGUGGGCAGGCGAUUUUGGCCCUUCUCCAAACUUUGGAAGCAAAGUCUUUAUUCUCUGUAUGAUUAUGUGCUCUCAGCUCCAUUUCUUGUUCCCAAUAAAAAUUGUGCUGCAUCCUAA